CUCCCUCCCAUCUCAUCACAGUGUGCUUUGAUAUGUUGGAAAUACUGAUCCCUAACUGGUGAGGCAUUUAUAAACAUUAGUCUGCCUCAUAACUAGUGAAUCGGCUACAAGGCAGAUCUGCCUCAAGGACAUCAGCUCUGAUGACAGCCGGGUAUUGUCCUACUGCCACUCUUUAUCGUUCAUGCGGGUGACUGGGAGAAGCUGCACACAGGCUGGCCACAAACCAAACAGCAUCCUCCGAAAUAAGGGCUGCUUCUUACUAAGAGACAUUACCCAGGCUGUCACUUGUGAGAAUUAACCGUUCACUUUGUUAUCGCUCUCUCCGCCAGCUACACCGUCCGCAUCCUGCUUGUUCCGGCACAACGUCACUUCCUGGUAACCCGUGUGUCACUUCCCAGCAACGUAACAUUACCAAAGAACACACCCGGAUGUGGUGAGGAGUUUAGUCUUGUGGUUGUACAACAUGGUGACAUUGCAGUCUGGCAAAGACAAAUGCAUCGAUUCUGCUUAUACCACCUGAAACUUGUGUGUUCUCUUUAUUGUUUUUAACUUCUUCCCUCUUGUCUCCAUUUUACAUUCUUACCCUUGACUGUGGAAAUUUGUCACGCUCUCUGUUUUUCUACAUCCCUCCUUGUCUGCCACUGAACUGUGGCAGCACCAUUACAGGAAGAAUAGUAUCAUCAUAAUGUGUGUAUAGGAGACCACUUCAGAAGCAACGGAUACAAUAAAUGAUGUUUGGAAGUGCAGGUAAAACUCUGAUGGAUGUGGAAGACUUCACUGAGGCCUUGGACAGAGGACUUGAACACCUGUUUCCAGAACAUUAGUCUGAGGGUUCUGGAUUACUAUUCCAGAAAUGUUACAACAGCACGACCACUUCCCAUUGAAUAGGAGUGGUCUGUCUUCACCUCUGCUGCAGCUACUGGAAUUACACCACACAGGAGUAACAGGAAAAGGACAACAAUUUCCUGUGACCACAAGAACAUAUCAGAUGCUAGGAUUUUUGCAGCAAAUACCUUACUUCUAAUAAUAUGACAAGGCAUAAAUGUAGUUGUGUCAUGGAAUACUCUGCAUUUCUGUGGCUGAGUGAAGCUCCAUCUAACAUUCAGAAAGCUCAACUCGAUCCAGGACAAAGCUGCUUCAUUAGCAUCCCAUCCAGAACAAACAUUUAAUCAAUCCGCAAGUUCAGAAUUGCAGCAAUAUUGACCUUCUAAAAGUUAAACUACACUAACUUGCCUGUGCUGUUCUAACAGUAUUUCCCCUGCCAGAGAGUGGUGAGAAUGUGGAAUCGUUGCCACAGGAAGUGGUUGAAGCAAAUAGUAUAAAUUUAGUGUAGAGUUUCGUGGUAGUGAUACAUAGAACGUAACCCUAAUAACUAGAAAACACAAGAGGCUGACAUGGAGUAUAUACGUGGACAUGGGCUGUUUGAGCUGAACUAUGUAUUGUAUAUUAAUGUAAUAUCACUCAAUGUCCA